GCUCCUAUGGACAAGGUGAUAAGACAUUAAGUUUUCAACUUAGAGACAAGAGUUCAAACCUCUUUAGGAGCU
rnacentral:tRNA from 1 species